rnacentral:rRNA from 1 species
CCUACGGGAGGCUGCAGUAGGGAAUAUUGCUCAAUGGGGGAAACCCUGAAGCAGCAACGCCGCGUGGAGGAUGAAGGUUUUCGGAUUGUAAACUUCUUUUGUUAGAGAAGAUAAUGACGGUAUCUAACGAAGAAGCACCGGCUAACUCCGUGCCAGCAGCCGCGGUAAUACGGAGGGUGCAAGCGUUAUCCGGAAUCACUGGUCGUAAAGAGCGCGUAGGCGGGUUAGCAAGUCAGAUGUGAAAUCCUAUGGCUUAACCAUAGAACUGCAUUUGAUACUGUUAUUCUAGAGUUUGGAAGAGGUAGGUGGAAUUCUUGGUGUAGGGGUGAAAUCCGUAGAGAUCA